rnacentral:SRP_RNA from 1 species
GCCGGGCGUGGUGGCGCAUGCCUGUAAUCCCAGCUACUCAGGAGGCUGAGGCAAGAGAAUCGCUUCAACCUGGGAGGCAGAGAUUGCAGUGAGCCGAGACCUCGCCAUUGCACUCCUGCCUGGGCAACAAGAGCAAAACUCCAUCUCAAAAAAAAAAAAAAAAAGGAACCCCCCAACCCUACCUUUUUUUUUUUUUUGAGACAGUCUUGUUCUGUUGCCCAGGCUGGAGAGCAAUGGCGACGUCUCGGCUCACUGCAACCUCCGCCUCCCGGGUUCAAUCGAUUCUCCUGCCUCAG